GCCUUGGAACAAGGUAACUGAGUACCUUGGCAACUGCGAGUUCAAGUUCAUAGACCUUCAAAUGAAUGCUUCCCCAAUAAUGAGAUUCAGCAAACAUUUGGCUCAGUCUCUCAAUAUUUUACUUCAAAAUGAGGAGAAAGAAAGGACUUAGUAAACGGAGAGAGGAAGGAAGAGACAGAGGAAGGGAGGAAUGACGCUUCUACAUAAACCUUGACAGAGAUGAGAGGAGAGGAAGCAUAUGGAUGUGUCACAAGGAAGGUUCUGCUAUAGAGAAGACAGAUAUAAACUUCAGAUGUCAGAAGAUGACGGAAAAAUACUGCACAGUGAACACUUCCUUGUCUGGCACAGGGCCA
rnacentral:lncRNA from 1 species